rnacentral:rRNA from 1 species
UACGUAGGGAGCAAGCGUUGUCCGGAAUCAUUGAGCGUAAAGCGCGCGUAGGUGGCCUCGUAAGUCCGCUGUGAAAGUCAAAGGCUCAACCUUUGAAAGCCGGUGGAUACUGUGGGGCUAGAGUACGGAAGAGGCGAGUGGAAUUCCUGGUGUAGCGGUGGAGUGCGCAGAUAUCAGGAGGAACACCAAUAGCGAAGGCAGCUCGCUGGGACGUUACUGACACUGAGGCGCGAAAGCGUGGGGAGCGAACAGG